rnacentral:rRNA from 1 species
UAGGGGAGACUGGAAUUCCUGGUGUAGCGGUGAAAUGCGCAGAUAUCAGGAGGAACACCGGUGGCGAAGGCGGGUCUCUGGGCCGAUACUGACGCUGAGGAGCGAAAGCGUGGGGAGCGAACAGGAUUAGAUACCCUGGUAGUCCACGCCGUAAACGUUGGGCGCUAGGUGUGGGGAACCUUCCACGUUCUCCGUGCCGCAGCUAACGCAUUAAGCGCCCCGCCUGGGGAGUACGGCCGCAAGGCUAAAACUCAAAGGAAUUGACGGGGGCCCGCACAAGCGGCGGAGCAUGUGGCUUAAUUCGACGCAACGCGAAGAACCUUACCAAGGCUUGACAUAUACCGAAAACUCAUAGAGAUAUGGGGUCCGCAAGGGCGGUAUACAGGUGGUGCAUGGUUGUCGUCAGCUCGUGUCGUGAGAUGUUGGGUUAAGUCCCGCAACGAGCGCAACCCUCGUUCUAUGUUGCCAGCGCGUAAAGGCGGGGACUCAUAGGAGACUGCCGGGGUCAACUCGGAGGAAGGUGGGGAUGACGUCAAAUCAUCAUGCCCCUUAUGUCUUGGGCUGCACACAUGCUACAAUGGCCGGUACAAAGGGCUGCAAUACCGCAAGGUGGAGCUAAUCCCAAAAAGCCGGUCUCAGUUCGGAUUGGGGUCUGCAACUCGACCCCAUGAAGUCGGAGUCGCUAGUAAUCGCAGAUCAGCAACGCUGCGGUGAAUACGUUCCCGGGCCUUGUACACACCGCCCGUCACGUCACGAAAGUUGGUAACACCCGAAGCCAGUGGCCCAACUCGCAAGAGAGGGAGCUGUCGAAGGUGGGAUCAGCGAUUGGGACGAAGUCGUAACAAGGUACCAAUCCCGCGG